CGGAACUUUCAAUAACUUGCGUGCAUUCUUGACAUGGAAAGUCACAGGUGAUGCAGCAACUCAACGGAAGUGCAACCCAUUCUCCUUCGGAGGUAGCCAUGGCCAUGGGAGAGUUGGAAACACCUCAGAUGAGUUUUUACCAGGGGCCUUUUAAGAGACACAGACAUCAAAAGAGAUCAAUGCAGUGGAAGAGUACAUCAAAAUGUUUGAUUGCAUCAAUCCAAAAUACGAAGAAAAUAGGAGUACAAACAUCUUACUUGCUGGGCAAAGGGAUUUUUGAUCUGGCCGUCCCGACCUGUUCGUUUUUAUUUACUGUUGCACCUUAUUUUAAGCUUCUCUAAAUGUUUUUCUUUUGUGGCUUUUCUAUCAGGAUCACCAAAAGAUAACACUUUCACCAAAAACUUCAUUAUUUGUGAGAUUCGCGAUGGAAAGUUACUGGAAAUUAUGUCAACUACCCUGAAGCUUGGUGAUGAUGCAACUACUCGUGAAAUCAAAAGACUUCUCAUCCAAGAAUUUGAUUUCUUCAAAUCAGCAAAGAGUGAAGGGGCAAUCACACUACUAGACUCUGAAGGGCUCGAAAUUGAGAGCACAAGAGGGUCUGCUUUUGACUUGCAGUAAUACAUGUAUAGCGGAACUGCCAUGGGAAUGAGGAGAUGAUCUAUUCAUAAACCUACCAGGAAAAGCACACAGAAGGCGAUACUUUUGGGGAACAAAUACAAAGAUCAAAGCUGUACGAAUUGCUGACUGGUUGAAGCGAAAACGCAAGGGUAUGAAUCUUGCAAGCACAUAUUCCUCAUCUGACGGGGAAGCAGCACCUCUGCAUGAGGAAGCACAGGUAGUGACGCUUCAAUCACUUUCUGAAGGUGUAGCAAAGGUAGAAGAGUUGGUGAGGGGCUUGUCUAAAUAAAAAAAAUCAGUGAUGAUCUUAGAGCAAUCUUCAAAUGCAAAUUUGUUUUGAAACCAACAAACAUCCAGUUUUCAAAACAAAAUGUUAUAAUGUGGCAGGUUGUUACGAUUGUUCCAUUAAAUGUGACAGCCUUCAGUCGUGCAUUCUAAAUAAGUCUGAAGCCCAAGAAGAAGCUGAUCCUCUGGGCAUGUAUUCACAGAUGCCCGCUGUUCGUGGCUUAUAUCAGAUUGCUGGAAUAGAUAUGGCUUCAAUUUGCUGCUUAUUAGCUACUAACUCAUGUUGGAGGACCGAGUAACUACAGUUGAGUGAGCCGUUACGUUUUGUGUUGACCUUCACUUUGAAGCUGUUCUUAAAUUAGAGUUUAAUGUUUGUGGUUGUUAAAUUGCGGUUUUGAGAAAAAUUCAGAAAUGAGGAAGGCUCCUUUACGUAAAAUAUAAGACGGAUUUGGAAACAAAAAUUCAAAUUGGUGCUUCAAACUGGACUGCU